rnacentral:rRNA from 1 species
UACGGGGGGGGCAAGCGUUGUUCGGAAUUACUGGGCGUAAAGGGCUCGUAGGCGGCCAACUAAGUCAAACGUGAAAUCCCUCGGCUUAACCGGGGAACUGCGCUUGAUACUGGAUGGCUUGAGAUUGGGAGAGGGAUGCGGAAUUCCAGGUGUAGCGGUGGAAUGCGUAGAUAUCUGGAGGAACACCGGUGGCGAAGGCGGCAUCCUGGACCGGCAUUGACGCUGAGGCGCGAAAGCUAGGGGAGCAAACGGG